rnacentral:rRNA from 1 species
GAUCAUGGCUCAGGAUGAACGCUGGCGGCGUGCUUAACACAUGCAAGUCGAACGGGAAAUACUUUAUUGAAACUUCGGUCGAUUUAAUUUAUUUCUAGUGGCGGACGGGUGAGUAACGCGUGGGUAACCUGCCUUAUACUGGGGGAUAACAGCCAGAAAUGACUGCUAAUACCGCAUAAGCGCACAGAACCGCAUGGUUCCGUGUGAAAAACUACGGUGGUAUAAGAUGGACCCGCGUUGGAUUAGCUAGUUGG